rnacentral:misc_RNA from 1 species
UACAUACACAUACACAUGUGCAAGUAAUGUUUUUCUUGUGAGUGUGUGUGUGGGGGAAAAUUGUAAUAAAAUAUGAACGCAAGAAAAACGCUGGAAAUGGAAAACUAAAAGUAAAUUUCGAAACAUCAGCGCAGUGGCCGCGGCAGCGCAGAUAUGCAGCUGUAUGUGUGCGUGUGUGUGUAAAUUAUUAACAGUUAGGCUGCGCAAAUAAAAAGCAAGCGGAAAAGAAAAAGAAAUCAAGCAGCAGCAAAUAAAUAAAAGUGAACAACAACAUUCAAUGUGCCAUCAUUUUCAACAACAACUACUACUAUAAUUAAGCAAAAGGAGCAGCUUUAAACAAAAUAUAAUAAAUAAAUACAUACAUAUAUACACAUAUAUAUUUAUAAGCGUUAUUAUAUAUACAGUAUUAGCAGCAACAACUGAGAGAAGAAAAAAUAAUAUUAAAAAUGUCCUGCAUAUCGAGCAAUUUUAGCUCAUUCUUUCUCAACUCCUUGAACGAUCCUUCAGAGUUUUCCAAGUACUUGAGCAAUGGCGAGCUGAAAUGCUCGAAUUUCGAAGAAUUUCAAGUGUUUGCUCAGUCAACGCAACAGCAACAACAACAGCAGCAGCAACAACAACCACAGUCACAGUAUUCAUGCACAAAUGGCAUCGGCGUCGGAGGCGCAGAGCUCGGAUUUGAGACGGCAGCGACGUUGCAGUUGCAGCCGGCGCAGCGGGAAGCUGCGGAAACGCCGGCAGUGCUAAGCACACCGUUGCCCAACAACCGUUGGCCGACAGCGGUGGCAACGCCAAACGGACACGUGCCCGCCUCUGCCGCCGCCGCUGCCGCUGCUGCCAACGCUCAGCAUUUCGAUGGUUCCUUUGAGUUUAUCAAAUAUCUGCGUCACUCCACGGACUUUACGCCCAGUAGCGGCAGCAGCAGCGGUGUCAGUGGGAGCAAUAGCUCCGUCGGCGUCGGCGUCAACGUCAGCAGCGAUGCAGUUGACAGCGCAGCAUUGGCAGCACCGGCAGAGAAGAGCAGUAAAUUGAUUGGACCGGGCAGGAUUACAACACCGCCGCCAGGGGGCGCCACCGCCGGUGGUGCUGGUGGCAAUGGUGGCUGCAGUGUGGGUUUAUUGGAUCUGGACUCGGCAAACCCAUCGCAAAAAUCACGUUCGGCCUCACGUAAAGUUGCCGCGCUGCUGUCUUCCGUAUCGCGCUCUUCCAACAGCCUGGACGCCAGCACCUCCGCCCUGGACGCCGUCUUCGAUCACGAUUCGAAGCAAACAAUCUUUGAGCUGCAACAUUUGACGAGCACCUCGAACGGCUCGAAUGGCUCCAAUUCAAAUGAGUCGUCCUCGCUGGAGUUACUCGCCUUUCCCAGCUCCCAUCUGAAUGCUUCCAACUCGAAUACCUCCUCGGAGGAGCAUUGCGGCAGUGCAGCAGAAUUCGGUGCACUGUUGGGUGGAUCUGGAUGCUCGGCGGCCUCGGGCGCUGGUGGCGCGCCCAAGCUUUUGGGUAGCUUUGUGAUCAAGGAGAACUUCGAUGUACACCCCUCGCAUAAGGUGGAGGAGGGCAUCUUCCAGCACAUGAACAAGUUGCCGUCAAAGAAGAAGGAUACCCUCAAGCAGUUGGGCGUACGAUUCACGGGACAAAUGACAUUGACGGAUAAAUCGAUUGUGGUCGAAAAUUUCAUCAAAUUUUGCGAGGAAUACGAUAUUAAGGAUCAUCGACCCUGGUUGUCCUUAAAUCAGUGUGGCCUCAACAAACCUGAGCAAAUCAAAUUCGCACGCUAUUUGGGCCAAGGGUUGCCAACGUUUACGCUCUUCUGCAUUUAUAGCAAUUUUAAAAAUCUAUUUUGCACCAAACGCACAGAAAUCUAUACCAAGGAUGGCUACAAUCUGCCUUAUAUACUCGAUAAGACCAAGCGCUUCCUGGCCAACACAACAGCUGACCUCAAGAAUAUGGCGGCCGCCAAUGACGGCACGCUCGAGUUUGCCAGCAAUAGCAGCACCAGCAGCACCAAUAGCACCAGCAACCACAACAACAACAACAACGGCAGCAGCAGCAGUCUUAACAGCAGUAGCAGCAGCACCAGUAACAGCAGCAACACUGUUAACAACUAUGUAACAGCAGCAGCAGCAGCCGCGGCUUCUUCUCAAUCCCUGGACACUCGCUAUGGCUGUGUGGCGCCGGCGUCGAUGUCCCUGUUACCGCCACCGUCGCUGCCGCCACUAGGACCGCCGCCACGUGCGCUGGAACAGCUGAUCAUCUAUGAGAAUUUCAAUGUGCAUGAGACGCAUCGCAUCGAAGAUGGCGUCUGCACUCACAUCAGCCGCCUGCCGCCCAAGAAGCAGGAGCUAUUGAAACAGAAUAUCAGAUAUCCGAUCAUCGACCCUUUUUGGACUUCCACGAGAGCGCUUUAUCCAAAUGUGAACAACUUAAAUUUGUACGAUAUCUGGGCCAGGGGCUAUCCAAUCUGACGCUAAACAAGAUAUAUGUGGCAUUUAAGGAGUUGCUGGGGAAUGGCCGACCGGACAAAGCCGGAUCGGAUAGCUACAAUUUGGAUGCACUUUUAAAAAAGAAACGCAAGAACCUUUAUAAUCGUCUUCAUGCGGCUGCAACAAGUGUCGAUCUAACAACGUUCGAUUCUACUUCCCAAGUAUCUCAGCCAAUUGGAACAGCACCGCAGCAUUCUUUGAUUACGCAAGCGCCGCGCCCACAACACGCCUUUGCUGCGUUGACUGCAGCCACACCACAGCAGAGCGAAUCGCCAUACAGUUAUGUGCCACGGUAAAAGCAAUCCUUAGCGUUGCACAGCAACAACAAUAAUAAUAAUAACAGCAGCAACAUCAAGAAAUACACCUACACACGCAUACAUAUUACAUAUACUUCCUGGAACUGGACCAGUAACUGUUGUGUCUUCAAAACGAAAAAUAAAAACAAAAACAAACAAAAUUAUACGCAAAAUGAGGAAAAUUGUUAAGCGAAAUGAUGCUAAGUAAUUAAAGUCAAAACUAAGUGCUAAAUUAUAAAGAAAAUAUGAGUAACAUAGAGAAAAAGUUAGUGUAACAAAUUGAAAUUAACAUAAAGGUAAUUAGAAUGCAAUUCCAAUUAGUAAGCCACAUAGGAAAUCCAAUAGGAAGCAGUUCAUAUGGCAACACUUGGCCUAUCUAUAGAGGUAUAUAUAUUUGUAGAUCGUGCUUCGGUUUCCGAAAAAAAUAAUUUUCCUUUCGUUUUCCAAAAGUUAAACAAGCAUAAUAUAAAUAUUUAUAUAUAUACAUACAUAUAUCCAUAUACAGUGUAGAGAGUUAAGAUAGAUUAUAAGUGCAACACCAAAAUUCAAAAAUAAAUCAAAGACCUCCCAAGAAAGUUCCCUAAUAUGCAUAUACACAUCAACUAUAGCAUAUAGAGUAUAAGUUGAGUGAACAAACAUUUAUAAUACAUAAUAAAUACACAUACACACAUACAAAUAAGCACAACACUGAAAGUAACAGUAGAGCAAAAACAUAGAAGAUUAACAAAAACAAUUAUUCCUAUAUACAAUACUUAUAUACAACAAACAAUAUAGAUACAUAAUAAUAAUAAUAUAAACGGAAACGCAAGAAUCAAAUACCAAGCAUAGCAAUUGUAAAUUCAAUAUACAUACGUG